GAUGAACGCUGGCGGCGUGCCUAAUACAUGCAAGUCGAGCGAACAGACGAGGAGCUUGCUCCUCUGACGUUAGCGGCGGACGGGUGAGUAACACGUGGAUAGCCUACCUAUAAGACUGGGAUAACUUCGGGAAACCGGAGCUAAUACCGGAUAAUAUAUUGAACCGCAUGGUUCAAUAGUGAAAGACGGUUUUGCUGUCACUUAUAGAUGGAUCCGCGCCGCAUUAGCUAGUUGGUAAGGUAACGGCUUACCAAGGCGACGAUGCGUAGCCGACCUGAGAGGGUGAUCGGCCACACGGGAACUGAGACACGGUCCAGACUCCUACGGGAGGCAGCAGUAGGGAAUCUUCCGCAAUGGGCGAAAGCCUGACGGAGCAACGCCGCGUGAGUGAUGAAGGUCUUCGGAUCGUAAAACUCUGUUAUUAGGGAAGAACAAAUGUGUAAGUAACUAUGCACGUCUUGACGGUACCUAAUCAGAAAGCCACGGCUAACUACGUG
rnacentral:rRNA from 1 species